rnacentral:rRNA from 1 species
CAAUGCGGGAUGAUGGCGACCGGCAAACGGGUGCGGAACACGUACGCAACUUUCCUCUAAGCGGGGCAUAGCUCGGAGAAAUCCGGAUUAAUACCCCAUAACAUUGCAGAUAGGCAUCUAUCAACAAUUAAAGAUUUAUCACUUAGAGAUGGGCGUGCGGCUGAUUAGAUAGUUGGCGGGGUAACGGCCCACCAAGUCUGCGAUCAGUAACUGGUGUGAGAGCACGACCAGUCACACGGGCACUGAGACACGGGCCCGACUCCUACGGGAGGCAGCAGUAAGGAAUAUUGGUCAAUGGACGCAAGUCUGAACCAGCCAUGCCGCGUGGAGGAUGAAGGUCCUCUGGAUUGUAAACUUCUUUUAUCUGGGACGAAAAAGGGCCUUUCUAAGCCAACUGACGGUACCAGAUGAAUAAGCACCGGCUAACUCCGUGCCAGCAGCCGCGGUAAUACGGAGGGUGCAAGCGUUAUCCGGAUUCACUGGGUUUAAAGGGUGCGUAGGUGGGCAGGUAAGUCAGUGGUGAAAUCUCUGGGCUUAACCCGGAAACUGCCAUUGAUACUAUUUGUCUUGAAUACCGUGGAGGUCAGCGGAAUAUGUCAUGUAGCGGUGAAAUGCUUAGAUAUGACAUAGAACACCAAUUGCGAAGGCAGCUGGCUACACGAAUAUUGACACUGAUGCACGAAAGCGUGGGGAUCAAACAGGAUUAGAUACCCUGGUAGUCCAC